CCUACGGGCGGCAGCAGUGAGGAAUAUUGGUCAAUGGACGAGAGUCUGAACCAGCAAAGUAGCGUGAAGGAUGAAUGUCCUAUGGGUGGUAAACUUCUUUGAUAUGGGAAUAAAUUAUUCCACGUAUGGGAUUUGGUAUGUACCAUAUGGAUAAAGAAGGGGUAACUCCGUGCCAGCAGCCGCGGUAAUACGGAGGAUCCGAGCGUUAUCAGGAUUUAGUGGGUUUAGAGGGAGCGUAGGUAGAUUGUUAAGUCAGUUGUGAAAGUUUGCGGCUCAACCGUAAAACUGCAUUUGAAACUGGCAGUCUUGAGUACAGUAGAGGUAGGUGGAAUUCGUGGUGUAGCGGUGAAAUGCUUAGAUAUCACGAAGAACUCUCAUUGCGAAGGCAGCUCACUGGACUGCAACUGACACUGAGGCUCGAAAGUGUGGGUAUCAAACAGGAUUAGAUACCCCUGUAGUC
rnacentral:rRNA from 1 species